CGGAUCUCUUGGUUCCGGCAUCGAUGAAGAACGCAGCGAAAUGCGAUACGUAAUGUGAAUUGCAAAUUCAGUGAAUCAUCGAGUCUUUGAACGCACAUUGCGCCCCCUGGUAUUCCGGGGGGCAUGCCUGUCCGAGCGUCAUUGCUGCCCUCAAGCACGGCUUGUGUGUUGGGCCCCGUCCUCCGACCCCGGGGGACGGGCCCGAAAGGCAGCGGCGGCACCGCGUCCGGUCCUCGAGCGUAUGGGGCUUUGUCACCCGCUCUGUAGGCCCGGCCGGCGCUUGCCGAUCAACCCAAAUUUUUAUCCAGGUUGACCUCGGAUCAGGUAGGGAUACCCGCUG
rnacentral:rRNA from 1 species